GAUGAACGCUGGCGGCGUGCCUAAUACAUGCAAGUCGAGCGAACGGACGAGAAGCUUGCUUCUCUGAUGUUAGCGGCGUACGGGUGAGUAACACGUGGAUAACCUACCUAUAAGACUGUGAUAACUUCGGGAAACCGGAGCUAAUACCGGAUAAUAUUUUGAACCGCAUGGUUCAAAAGUGAAAGACGGUCUUGCUGCCACUUAUAGAUGGAUCCGCGCUGCAUUAGCUAGUUGGUAAGGUAACGGCUUACCAAGGCAACGAUGCAUAGCCGACCUGAGAGGGUGAUCGGCCACACUGGAACUGAGACACGGUCCAGACUCCUACGGGAGGCAGCAGUAGGGAAUCUUCCGCAAUGGGCGAAAGCCUGACGGAGCAACGCCGCGUGAGUGAUGAAGGUCUUCGGAUCGUAAAACUCUGUUAUUAGGGAAGAACAGAUGUGUAAGUAACUGUGCACAUCUUGACGGUACCUAAUCAGAAAGCAACGGCUAACUACGUG
rnacentral:rRNA from 1 species